rnacentral:rRNA from 1 species
AGAUGGACAUGCGUUGUAUUAGCUAGAUGGUGAGGUAACGGCUCACCAUGGCGACGAUACAUAGGGGGACUGAGAGGUUAACCCCCCACACUGGUACUGAGACACGGACCAGACUCCUACGGGAGGCAGCAGUGAGGAAUAUUGGUCAAUGGACGCAAGUCUGAACCAGCCAUGCCGCGUGCAGGAAGACGGCUCUAUGAGUUGUAAACUGCUUUUGUACAAGGGUAAACCUCGGUACGUGUACCGAGCUGAAAGUACUGUACGAAUAAGGAUCGGCUAACUCCGUGCCAGCAGCCGCGGUAAUACGGAGGAUCCAAGCGUUAUCCGGAUUUAUUGGGUUUAAAGGGUGCGUAGGCGGAUUAGUAAGUUAGAGGUGAAAGCUCGGGGCUCAACUCCGGAACUGCCUCUGAUACUGCUGAUCUAGAGAGUAGAUGCGGUAGGCGGAAUGUAUGGUGUAGCGGUGAAAUGCUUAGAGAUCAUACAGAACACCGAUUGCGAAGGCAGCUUACCAAACUAUAUCUGACGUUGAGGCACGAAAGCGUGGGGAGCAAACAGGAUUAGAUACCCUGGUAGUCCACGCAGUAAACGAUGAUAGCUCGUUGUCGGCGAUACACAGUCGGUGACUUAGAGAAAUCGAUAAGCUAUCCACCUGGGGAGUACGUUCGCAAGAAUGAAACUCAAAGGAAUUGACGGGGGCCCGCACAAGCGGAGGAACAUGUGGUUUAAUUCGAUGAUACGCGAGGAACCUUACCCGGGCUUGAAAGUUAGUGACGGAUCUGGAAACAGGUCUUCCCUUCGGGGCACGAAACUAGGUGCUGCAUGGUUGUCGUCAGCUCGUGCCGUGAGGUGUCGGGUUAAGUCCCAUAACGAGCGCAACCCCUGCUGAUAGUUGCCAUCAGGCUAAGCUGGGCACUCUAUCGGGACUGCCUCUGUAAGGAGGAGGAGGGUGGGGAUGACGUCAAAUCAGCACGGCCCUUACGUCCGGGGCGGCACACGUGUUACAAUGGUAGGUACAGAGGGCAGCCACCCAGCGAUGGGGCGCAAU